rnacentral:rRNA from 1 species
UACGUAGGGAGCAAGCGUUGUCCGGAAUCAUUGGGCGUAAAGCGCGCGUAGGCGGCCCUGUAAGUCCGUUGUGAAAGUCAAAGGCUCAACCUUUGAAAGCCGAUGGAUACUGCAGGGCUAGAGUCCGGAAGAGGCGAGUGGAAUUCCUGGUGUAGCGGUGGAAUGCGCAGAUAUCUGGAGGAACACCGGUGGCGAAGGCGGCAUCCUGGACCGGUAUUGACGCUGAUGCGCGAAAGCCAGGGGAGCAAACGGG